GAAAUGCGAUAAGUAGUGUGAAUUGCAGAAUUCAGUGAAUCAUCGAAUCUUUGAACGCACAUUGCGCCCCUUGGUAUUCCAUGGGGCAUGCCUGUUCGAGCGUCAUUUGUACUCUCAAGCUAUGCUUGGUGUUGGGUGUUUGUCCUUUCUUUUAUGCCUGGACUCGCCUUAAAUCAAUUGGCAGCCGGUAUAUUGGUCUCAAGCGCAGCACAAUGCUUGCUUGUAGCCGAUUGUAUCAGCCCCCAGUAAGCAAAUUAACACGCUUGACCUCGGAUCAGGUAGGGAUACCCGCUGAACUUAA
rnacentral:misc_RNA from 1 species